GACGAACGCUGGCGGCGUGCUUAACACAUGCAAGUCGAACGGAAAGGCCCUGCUUUUGUGGGGUGCUCGAGUGGCGAACGGGUGAGUAACACGUGAGUAACCUGCCCUUGACUUUGGGAUAACUUCAGGAAACUGGGGCUAAUACCGGAUAGGAGCUCCUGCUGCAUGGUGGGGGUUGGAAAGUUUCGGCGGUUGGGGAUGGACUCGCGGCUUAUCAGCUUGUUGGUGGGGUAGUGGCUUACCAAGGCUUUGACGGGUAGCCGGCCUGAGAGGGUGACCGGCCACAUUGGGACUGAGAUACGGCCCAGACUCCUACGGGAGGCAGCAGUGGGGAAUAUUGCACAAUGGGCGGAAGCCUGAUGCAGCAACGCCGCGUGCGGGAUGACGGCCUUCGGGUUGUAAACCGCUUUCGCCUGUGACGAAGCGUGUGUGACGGUAAUGGGUAAAGAAGCACCGGCUAACUACGUGCCAGCAGCCGCGGUGAUACGUAGGGUGCGAGCGUUGUCCGGAUUUAUUGGGCGUAAAGGGCUCGUAGGUGGUUGAUCGCGUCGGAAGUGUAAUCUUGGGGCUUAACCCUGAGCGUGCUUUCGAUACGGGUUGACUUGAGGAAGGUAGGGGAGAAUGGAAUUCCUGGUGGAGCGGUGGAAUGCGCAGAUAUCAGGAGGAACACCAGUGGCGAAGGCGGUUCUCUGGGCCUUUCCUGACGCUGAGGAGCGAAAGCGUGGGGAGCGAACAGGCUUAGAUACCCUGGUAGUCCACGCUGUAAACGGUGGGUACUAGGUGUGGGGUCCACUCCACGGGUUCCGUGCCGUAGCUAACGCUUUAAGUACCCCGCCUGGGGAGUACGGCCGCAAGGCUAAAACUCAAAGGAAUUGACGGGGCCCCGCACAAGCGGCGGAGCAUGCGGAUUAAUUCGAUGCAACGCGUAGAACCUUACCUGGGUUUGACAUGGAUCGGGAGUGCUCAGAGAUGGGUGUGCCUCUUUUGGGGUCGGUUCACAGGUGGUGCAUGGCUGUCGUCAGCUCGUGUCGUGAGAUGUUGGGUUAAGUCCCGCAACGAGCGCAACCCUUGUUCACUGUUGCCAGCACGUUAUGGUGGGGACUCAGUGGAGACCGCCGGGGUCAACUCGGAGGAAGGUGGGGAUGACGUCAAGUCAUCAUGCCCCUUAUGUCCAGGGCUUCACGCAUGCUACAAUGGCUGGUACAGAGAGUGGCGAGCCUGUGAGGGUGAGCGAAUCUCGGAAAGCCGGUCUCAGUUCGGAUUGGGGUCUGCAACUCGACCUCAUGAAGUCGGAGUCGCUAGUAAUCGCAGAUCAGCAACGCUGCGGUGAAUACGUUCCCGGG
rnacentral:rRNA from 1 species